GGAAUCUUGCGCAAUGGGCGAAAGCCUGACGCAGCAACGCCGCGUGCGGGAAGAAGGCUUUCGGGCUGUAAACCGCUUUCAGUAGGAACGAAACUGACGGUACCUACAGAAGAAGGAGCGGCCAACUAUGUGCCAGCAGCCGCGGUGACACAUAGGCUCCAAGCGUUGUCCGGAUUUAUUGGGCGUAAAGAGCUCGUAGGCGGUUGAGUAAGUCGGGUGUGAAAACUUUGGGCUUAACCCAAAGAUGCCACUCGAUACUGCUUUGACUUGAGUUCGGUAGGGGAGUGGGGAAUUCCUUGUGUAGCGGUGAAAUGCGCAGAUAUAAGGAGGAACACCGGUGGCGAAGGCGCCGCUCUGGGCCGAUACUGACGCUGAGGAGCGAAAGCGUGGGGAGCAAACAGGAUUAGAUACCCUGGUAGUCCACGCGGUAAACGGUGGUCACUAGGUGUGGGUCUCUUCAAACGAGAUCUGCGCCGUCGCUAACGCAUUAAGUGACCCGCCUGGGGAGUACGGUCGCAAGACUAAAACUCAAAGGAAUUGACGG
rnacentral:rRNA from 1 species